rnacentral:lncRNA from 1 species
GUGUAUUUAGAAUUAUCUUAAUUUUUUGUAUGAGAAUAAUGUUCCUUGUUUUCCGUACGAACAUAUUGAAUUAAAACAAUUCUUAAUAUGACAAAAAGGAAAACAUAUGGCCAGGAAUAUCUGACAAGGAUCUCAAUUAAGGACUAGGUCCUAACAACCACUUAACCUUUUAUAUAAUAUGGUACAUAGACUCAGCUCUGUAAUUCUUUUCAAAGCAGAACAAAAUGCAUUGUACAAUGAAAGUUCCAACCAUGUACUUGGG